rnacentral:SRP_RNA from 1 species
CGAUGGGGCCUCUGCAAUGAAUUCUCUGCGAACUCCGCCAGGUCCGGAAGGAAGCAACGGUAGUGGAAUAAUUUGUGUGCCGGAGUAACCCUGUCGAGU